CUCUCUGAGCCUUGCUUUCUUACUUGAACAAUAUGGUUAAAAAUACUAAUUGGAGAGGAAUGUGGCGUGCAAAGGUAAAGCAUGCAAAAUUGCUUGCCUGGCACAGGUGGGUAGGCGUUCAAAAUGGUAAUUUCCUUCCUCUUUCCAUCUUAAGUAUAACUCACUGUUUGGGAGAGAAGGGAAUCAAAUUUACUCAGAACCGGAAGAGAUCUUAAAGGUGAUUUGUUUAACCUUGUGCCUUCUUUCCCUUGAGAAAACCAAUUCCCUGUGAGUUGGCUGCGACUAGGACUAGUGGGGAUUAUUCAGUGAGCCAGGAGCGGUGCUGGAUAGGAAGCCAGAGCCUUAGACAAUGCCUGGGAGUAGGCCAGACUUUGUAGGAAAGCCCAGUCUCACCCAAAGAAGGUGGAUUUUAGCAUAAGGAUGUAAGAUCCUAAAUGGAAAUUUAUAGUGAAAACUGAAUAGGUAUUUUUUAAUGCCAAUUACAAACUACUAUGCAUGGAAAAUACUAAUAUUUCUCAGCUUCUAACUAUAUGCUAGGUGUUGGUCUAUAAGCUUUAGAUGGAUUUAUUUCUCCUGAUAAUAAAGUAGGCACUGUUACUAUCUAUCUAGAAUUUUUGCAAGGCGAUAAAUCCAGUCAGUAGUGAAACUAGCGUUCAGACCCACGGGUUUUGGCUUCAGACCUUGUCUCAGUCACCGUGUUGAACUCUCUCCUUAUGCAGCUCUCACUACAUCGUGUUCCCAGAGAUCUGCUCGCUCUUUCAGGAGCAAUUAAGAAAAUAAAACAAAUGGAGCAGGAGUUUGGCAUAAGAGGGUGCUUACCUUCCAGAACCCAGGAGAGUCGUGGAGAGCCUCAAGCUAUUGCCCUGGGUAGAGUGCCAUGGCGUCACAGCUCACCGCAACCUCCAACUCCUGGACUUAAGCGAUUCUCUUGCCUCAGCCUCCCAAGUAGCUGGGACUACAGGCACCUGCCACAAUGCCCGGUUAUUUUUUUGUUGCAGUUUGGCCAGGGCCAAGUUUGAACCCUCCACCCUUGGUAUAUGGGGCCGGUGCCCUACUCACUGAGCCAUAGGCACUGCCCUCGGAAUUUACUCUCAAACAUCACUCUCAAUGAUUAGUAUUCUCUCUGCCAAAGAUCUCGGGACGUGGAGGGGAGUAGAACGAAGAGGCAAAAUUUGACUGCUUAAAUCUAUGAGAAGAUUUGAUAGAUUUGGUUGCUAGAAAGUUUGGAAUGAUGUGAUUUUAGUUCUAGUAAAAGACUUUUUGCAUGAAAUUCAUGGCCAUGCUGAAUAUACAGAACAGAAAAAGAGAACUGCAGUAGCAAAUAGUUUAAAUUAUUGCUUCAUAUUAACUAUACAGCUAACAGUGUAGAGAAAUUUGAGUAAGAAAAAAAUAUUUCCAGUUUUUGACUUUAAAGUUGCAACAUUUUAUGUAAAAUGAUAAUGGGUAUUUUAGUAAGAGCUUUUGUUGUUUUCAAAUUUUGCAUAAAAUACCACAGGAUAGUUUUGUUUCGGGUCUGGAAAUGUACUCCUUAUGCAGUCUUACUGUCUUAUGUGAAUUUCCUCUUUCUUUUUUGUUUUGCAUUCUACUUAUUUGGUGCCUGUCAGUCUCUCAUCGUCAAUUUACCUUCUUCUAAACUCAAAAAGACGUUCUAUACCUUUUGUACUUUUAGGCAUUCUCUACUAGAUUUUUUAAAACAUUUCAAAAGUUCAGAUACUUUGAUUUCAUGACAUCAGGUAGCUGUCUCUAAGCUCCUUUUUCUAAAAUUUAAAGAAGUAGUUCAAUUUAUGUCACUUCUACUUUGUGAUUCUAAAUCUUUUAAAACGAUCUUGCCAUAUUUUAUGCACUUAUCUUCAUAGAAAACUCUGUGAAACACUAUCUAUUUUCUGUUUUAAACUGCUUGAGUUUUUUUUUAAUAUUAUUUCCUCUGCUUUCCAAAUGCACAUCUUAAUUUAUUUCUCUUUUUCUUCUCUAUAGAUCCCUUCAGUGUAUUCCUUCAGGUUCUCAUCAGUUCCCAUCAAAAAUUUAAAAGCAAGUUUUAGGAUAUAUAUGUAUAUAUAUCUACUGUCCAUUUUUCAAUACUGCCUUUUUAGUGAUCAUUUUAUUAUUGAUAAAUGACAAAUAUUUUCAUUUCCAAGGAAUUAAAAGAAGAAACAAAGGUAUGAUAUCUUCUUGGGCUUUAUUUUUACCAAUAGUGAAAAAAAUCAUAGAUGGAAAGGAGAUUGUGGAAAUAGAAAGAAACAGAUGUAUUUCCAAGACUUUGGGAAAGUAUAUUUCAAGAAAUUCAAUGAGAAGGUUAUCACGCUGCUUAGAUUAUUGAGAAGCAAAAAUGCUAAAGAAUAUUUAGUGGCAAUAAGAAUGCAAGUCUAAUCAUACUAAUUUUAAUAAUUUUGUAAAACUUUCCUAAUUGUUCACUGUGUGUUUUGGUUUGCUUUUAAUAAUUUUGGGUUUCAUAGAUAUCUUUUAGUAUAUGAUGAAUACUGGUGAUUCAUACUUUUUCCUGCACAUAGGUAUACAAUAUUUAUAUUGUUUUACAUAUAUGCAUGGUAUUACAUAUGUAUGUAUAACAUACUGUUAACAUUUCCUGGACCCGCAUAUAUGUAUAUGUAUCUUCCAAAUAUUAUGUACAACUUCGUGUAAUUUCUUGAUCCCUUGAUACCCAACCAUUUGCUUGGACAGGGGAUUCUCUGGAAGUCCAGCUUUAAUAAAUCUCUUACAAAAAGA